UACGGAGGGUGCAAGCGUUAUCCGGAUUUACUGGGUUUAAAGGGUGCGUAGGUGGGUAAGUAAGUCAGUGGUGAAAUCUUCGAGCUUAACUCGGAAACUGCCAUUGAUACUAUUUAUCUUGAAUACUUUGGAGGUAAGCGGAAUAUGUCAUGUAGCGGUGAAAUGCUUAGAUAUGACAUAGAACACCAAUUGCGAAGGCAGCUUACUACACAGUUAUUGACACUGAGGCACGAAAGCGUGGGGACCAAACAGG
rnacentral:rRNA from 1 species